rnacentral:ncRNA from 1 species
CAGGAAUGUGUCUGUAACAUGCUACAUUAACAGAGUUCUAGGACUGCCCUUUUAGUAGAGGUUGAGCAGUAGUAUAUUUCUCCUACAAAA